rnacentral:rRNA from 1 species
AGAGUUUGAUCAUGGCUCAGGAUGAACGCUAGCUACAGGCUUAACACAUGCAAGUCGAGGGGCAGCAUGAACUUAGCUUGCUAAGUUUGAUGGCGACCGGCGCACGGGUGAGUAACACGUAUCCAACCUGCCGAUGACUCGGGGAUAGCCUUUCGAAAGAAAGAUUAAUACCCGAUGGCAUAGUUCUUCCGCAUGGUAGAACUAUUAAAGAAUUUCGGUCAUCGAUGGGGAUGCGUUCCAUUUAGGG